rnacentral:rRNA from 1 species
AACGAACGCUGGCGGCGUGUCUUAAGCAUGCAAGUCGAGCGGCAAGGGCCAGCAAUGGCCCCUAGAGCGGCGGACUGGUGAGUAACACGUGGGUGAUCUACCUCGGGGUUGGGGAUAGCCAUUAGAAAUAGUGGGUAAUACCGAAUACGCUCCCGCAACUACGGUUGGGGGAGAAAGGCGCUACGGCGCCGACCUGAGAUGAGCCCGCGUCCCAUUAGCUAGUUGGUGAGGUAACGGCCCACCAAGGCCAUGAUGGGUAGGCGGCCUGAGAGGGUGUACGCCCACAUUGGGACUGAGAUACGGCCCAAACUCCUACGGGAGGCA